rnacentral:rRNA from 1 species
UGACCUCGGAUCAGGUAGGUUCCCAAGUUCC